rnacentral:lncRNA from 1 species
CAUUAAUGUUUGACAUGGUCACACACAAAGAUAAAAAAAUACCGAUUGCUAAUCUGAAUGAGAAUUUUACCGUUCAUAUUAGCAGAACUGCAUAGAAACUUUAAUACUAAGUCAAUUUAUUCCACAAUGCUUUCAUCUCCAUGCUCCAAACUGGAGCCAGCGAAUUUCAGAUAAGCAGGCCCUGAUUUAGGAAGGUGUGCAGAAGAGGAAAUUUUCAUAUGCACGAAAGAAGUCAGUGGGAUGGAAGUAAACCUGUGCAGUUAAGAAUGAGCUUUAGCAAUGCCUUGCAGAAAGCACAGAUGUCAAAAUUUGCUUAAAUAGUAUAUUGAAUCAGGGCCUUAUAGAACAAAGUGUGAGGCCCAGACAGUUCCAAAUUCUGUGUACAACACCAUGAAACGUUUUACUUUUGUCUUGUGUAUAUGUAAAUGUCAUCGUGAUAUUGACUUAUUUAUUAAUUCAUUUUCUUAUACUGUGUGCCAAGUAUAUUCCUACCCUUUUGAGCAGCACCUGUGAACAUCAAUUACUAAAAAUAAUGUUAUGCAAACUUGUGCAUUGUAACCAGGAAAAUGAUGCUAAUAAGCUGUUGCAUGUAGUUUAAAAUACUUAAGAAAACCCUUUAUUUAAAAAAUGUAAAUGAAUACCUGCCGAUGUUAAUGAUUAUAUAUGGUUUUGCAUGCCAAAACUCAUUGUUCAGUUGUGGGCAUGAAAUGUAAUGACUGUAUUACCUCUACUGAAUAUAUUAGUAAGGUACAAUUUACAAAGUAAUUAUCAGAGCUCUAUAUGUAAAAUUUUUCCUUCUGAUUUAAUUAUAUCGUAGUAGAGGUAACAGAACUGCUUCUGUUACCCAGAUUGGCUGUAGAAAUUAUGUUCCCAUAACACUCAUUUAAAAUCAGUAUUUAUUUAUGUAUGUAAUACAAAAAGAUUGCUCUUACGUGUUUGUCCCGUUAUUUAGAAAAAAAAAAAAAAAGAAAUACACUUGUAAAAACAAUUUGUAAAAAAAAUGUAAAUAGAGUCUGAUUUCUUUUGCUCACUAUUUUCAUGUUUAGAAUUUGUACAUACUUCUUUAGGUAAUAAACUAUCCUACAUCAAAA